rnacentral:rRNA from 1 species
UACGUAGGGUGCGAGCGUUGUCCGGAAUUAUUGGGCGUAAAGGGCUCGUAGGCGGUUUGUCGCGUCGGGAGUGAAAUCCACUGGCUUAACUGGUGGCUUGCUUUCGAUACGGGCAGACUGGAGGUAUGCAGGGGAGAACGGAAUUCCGGGUGUAGCGGUGGAAUGCGUAGAGAUCCGGAAGAACACCGGAGGCGAAGGCGGCUUGCUGGGCGUGAUCUGACGCUGAGGCGCGAAAGCGUGGGGAGCGAACAGG